CAAAGUUUUAUUUUGUUCAUCGCUUACUUAUCCUCGCUACUUCUCUCGCCUAGGUAGGACCUUUCAUUGCGUCAAGGGAAAGAAAAGGCAGUUUCCUGGGUAGAAGAAAUUUGAUGCCAAUUCUGCACACCCAAAUUCCUGGCAGAUUAAUCAGCAAGUAGUACAGAGAGCUGCUUUCUUUAAAAAGCUUCAUUUAUCACUCAAACUGUGAAUGCUGAGAUGCCAAGGCACUGUGAAGAAAUGAUCCUUUAGAGAGGAAAAAACCCUCCUGAAAAAGAAGCUGGGACCUAGGAGCUCCAAGGAUUGUGCUCAUUGCAGUGCUCAUUGUUUUGUUUAAAUUGUAUCUUCAGAGGACAAGGUCUAAGAAAUAACUUUUUUUGGCAUAAGUGACUUCAGAAUGAAAAAUUUUAAAUAUGUAA